UCCAGGUUAUCCCUGGCGGUCUCCUGCGAGUUCCAUCUAUGGCAACACAGGACAAGGGUUGCGCUCGUUGCGGGACUUAACCCAACAUCUCACGACACGAGCUGACGACAGCCAUGCAGCACCUCGACUCCGGUCCCUUGCGGGAAGUCCCUGUUUCCAAGGAUGAUCCAAAGCCGUUCGAGCCCAGGUAAGGUUCUUCGCGUUGCGUCGAAUUAAACCACAUGCUCCACCGCUUGUGCGGGCCCCCGUCAAUUCCUUUGAGUUUCAGCCUUGCGACUGUACUCCCCAGGCGGCACAUUUAACGCGUUAGCUCCGGCACGGAUCAACUGAAUGACCCACACCAAAUGUGCAUCGUUUAGGGCGUGGACUAC
rnacentral:misc_RNA from 1 species